AUUGAACGCUGGCGGCAGGCCUAACACAUGCAAGUCGAACGAGUGGCGGACGGGUGAGUAAUGUCUGGGAAACUGCCUGAUGGAGGAGGAUAACUACUGGAAACGGUCGCUAAUACCGCCUCACAUCAGAUGUGCCCAGAUGGGCUUAGCUUGUUGGUGGGGUAACGGAUCACCAAGGAGCAGCGCCCUAGCUGGUCAGAGAGGAUGACCAGUCAAACUGGGACUGGGACACGGUCCAGACUCCUACGGGAGGCAGCAGUGGGGAAUAUUGCACAAUGGGCGCAAGCCUGAUGCAGCCAUGCCGCGUGUAUGAAGAAGGCCUUCGGGUUGUAAAGUACUUUCAGCGGGGAGGCGUUACCCGCAGAAGAAGCACCGGCUAACUCCGUGCCAGCCGCCGCGGUAAUUC
rnacentral:rRNA from 1 species